rnacentral:antisense_RNA from 1 species
CUUCAGCGACCCCAGCAACAGCGGCUCCCGCGCACCGCGUUCCCGGCCGUACGUGGCCAGCAGCGCCUGUGCCUC